rnacentral:rRNA from 1 species
UACAGAGGGUGCGAGCGUUAAUCGGAAUUACUGGGCGUAAAGCGCGCGUAGGCGGCUUUUCAAGUCGAUUGUGAAAUCCCCCGGCUUAACCUGGGAACUGCGUCUGAUACUGGAAGGCUCGAGUUUGGGAGAGGGAUGCAGAAUUCCAGGUGUAGCGGUGAAAUGCGUAGAUAUCUGGAGGAAUACCGGUGGCGAAGGCGGCAUCCUGGACCAACACUGACGCUGAGGCGCGAAAGCUAGGGGAGCAAACAGG